AGUCAAAAGAUUAUUAUUGGUUAGUAGUAUUUAUUUAAAUUCUUAUUAUUGUUUGUAAUUUUAGGUUAAAUUUAUAUUGUUUUAUAAAUAAUAUAUAUAUUCAUGAUUCUACGAAAUUUAGAUCAUAGACAAGGAUUAGAUACCCUUUUAUACUAGACGUUAAUAUAUUACCUGGGUAGUAAUAGUUAAGUUCUUGAAACCCAAAGAAUUUGGCGGUAUUUUAGUCUUUUCAGAGGAACCUGUUGUGUAAUCGAUAAUCCACGUUUUUAUUUACUUAUGCUUGUACUCAGUUUUUAUACCUCCGUCAUAAGAAUAUUUUUUUAGAAUUAAUUUUCUUAAUUGUUAAAUACAUAUAUGUCAGGUCAAGGUGAAGCUUAUGCAUAAGUACUAAUGGGUUACAAUAAAUUUAUUUAUACGGAUUUUUUAAUUUAUAUUAAAAUUAAAGGGGUGUAAUAAAAUAAAGAUAAAUUUUAUGAUAUAAAGCUCUAAAACAUGCACACAUCGCCCGUCGCUCUCAUUUUAAGGUGAGAUAAGUCGUAACAUAGUAGGUGUACCGGAAGGUGUAUCUAGAAAGUACANNNNNN
rnacentral:rRNA from 1 species